GUGCUCACUUCAGCUGCACAUAUACUAAAAUUGGAAUGAUACAGAGAAGAUUAGCAUGACCCCUGCACAAGGUGGCAUGUAAAUUCUUGAUGCAUUCCAUUUUAUU
ensembl:snRNA U6 U6 spliceosomal RNA